rnacentral:lncRNA from 1 species
GUUCAGUGUCUUUCCCAGAAUAGACCCUUGAGGCUAAGAACAACAACAAAAAAUCCAGUAGAGCCCCAGGAGGAAAGGAAUUUGGCUUUUUAGCUGAGUAGUGAAAAGGCAAGCUGGCAAUUGCCCUUUGGCUCUGCCAGGGAAGGUCAGAGAAAGGCCUCCCCAGUGAUGGAGAGGGGAAGGAAGUGAGGGGGAGAAAAAACAGUGGAGAGAUAAACAAGCCUUGGCUGGAAGGAGGAGAGAGAAGCCCCCUCUGAAGAAUAUGCAUUCCAGGAGAGCAGGGAUAUUUGUUUUGUUCCCCGAUGUAUCCCCUGGAUCUAGCACAGGACUGGCAGGAACCCCAGAUUCUUCUCCAUGGUCGGAAUCAUUGCAAAAUAACUGACGGAGUUUCACCAUGUUGGCCAGGAUGGUCUCUGUCUCUUGACCUCGUGAUCCGCCCGCCUUGGACUUCCAGAGUGCUGGGAUUACAGGCAUGAGCCACCACGCCCAGCCUUGUUUUUGUAUAUUUUGUAGAGACAGGUCUUACUAUGUUGCCCAGGUUUGUCUUGGAGCUCCACUCCAAGGUGGAGCUCAAGCGAUCCACCUGCCUCAGCCUCCCAAAGUGCUGGGAUUACAGAUGUGAGCCACCAUGCCCAGCCUUCAUGGGUUUCCCUAGGAUCACCAGCUGUCAUGGACUGAUUUGUGUCUCUCCAAAUUCAUAUGUUGAAUACUUAACCUGCCAUGCGAUUGUGAUUGGAGAUAAUUCCUUUAGGGAAGCAAUGAAGGUUAAAUGAGGUCAUAGGUGGGAGCUUAAUCCAAUGGGACUGGGGUCCCUACAAGAAGAGGAAGACACCAGAGCUCUCUGUCUCCACACACAGAGAAAAGAGGCUGUAUGAGGACACAAGAGAAGGUAAUAGCUGUCUACAAACCAAGAAGAGAAGCCUCUCCAGAAAAUGAACCCUGCUGGAACUUGGUCUUGGACUUUCCAGCCUCCAGAACUGGGAGAAAAUAAAGUUCAAAAUAAAGUUCUGUUGUGUAAGCCCCCGAGUCCAUGGUAUUUUGUUAUGGCAGCCCUAGCAGACUAAUAACACCUGCUAAUUAAACUGCUUGUUCUCCACUUGUUGUCUCAGGGUCUGUUCCUAGGGAACCUGGACUCAGACAGAUGCUCUGCUUAAUUAGACCCCAGGGAAAUGUAAAUGAAAACCACGUGUGAUGCCAUGUCACAAGUACUAGGAUAACCAGAAGGAAAUCUGACCACAUCGGAUGCUGGUGAGGUUGGGAAGCUGUCAUAUUUAGCUGACGGAGGUGUGAGUCGGCAAACCACUUUGGAAAACUGUUUGUCAGUAUGAAAUAAAGCUAAAGCUA